rnacentral:rRNA from 1 species
UGGGGAAUUUUGGACAAUGGGCGAAAGCCUGAUCCAGCAAUGCCGCGUGUGUGAAGAAGGCCUUCGGGUUGUAAAGCACUUUUGUCCGGAAAGAAAUCCUUGGCUCUAAUACAGUCGGGGGAUGACGGUACCGGAAGAAUAAGCACCGGCUAACUACGUGCCAGCAGCCGCGGUAAUACGUAGGGUGCAAGCGUUAAUCGGAAUUACUGGGCGUAAAGCGUGCGCAGGCGGUUUGCUAAGACCGAUGUGAAAUCCCCGGGCUCAACCUGGGAACUGCAUUGGUGACUGGCAGGCUAGAGUAUGGCAGAGGGGGGUAGAAUUCCACGUGUAGCAGUGAAAUGCGUAGAGAUGUGGAGGAAUACCGAUGGCGAAGGCAGCCCCCCUGGGCCAAUACUGACGCUCAUGCACGAAAGCGUGGGGGAGCAAACAGGAUUAGAUACCCUGGUAGUCCACGCCCUAAACGAUGUCAACUAGUUGUUGGGGAUUCAUUUCCUUAGUAACGUAGCUAACGCGUGAAGUUGACCGCCUGGGGAGUACGGUCGCAAGAUUAAAACUCAAAGGAAUUGACGGGGUCAUAGCUGUUUCCU